rnacentral:rRNA from 1 species
UCUCCUGGAAACGGGUGGUAAUGCCGGAUGUUCCACAUGAGCGCAUGCGAGUGUGGGAAAGGCUUUUUGCGGCAUGGGAUGGGGUCGCGUCCUAUCAGCUUGUUGGUGGGGUAACGGCCUACCAAGGCGUUGACGGGUAGCCGGCCUGAGAGGGCGACCGGCCACAUUGGGACUGAGAUACGGCCCAGACUCCUACGGGAGGCAGCAGUGGGGAAUAUUGCACAAUGGGCGCAAGCCUGAUGCAGCGACGCCGCGUGCGGGAUGGAGGCCUUCGGGUUGUAAACCGCUUUUGUUCAAGGGCAAGGCACGGUUUCGGCCGUGUUGAGUGGAUUGUUCGAAUAAGCACCGGCUAACUACGUGCCAGCAGCCGCGGUAAUACGUAGGGUGCAAGCGUUAUCCGGAUUUAUUGGGCGUAAAGGGCUCGUAGGCGGUUCGUCGCGUCCGGUGUGAAAGUCCAUCGCUUAACGGUGGAUCCGCGCCGGGUACGGGCGGGCUUGAGUGCGGUAGGGGAGACUGGAAUUCCCGGUGUAACGGGGAAUGUGUAGAUAUCGGGAAGAACACCA